GCGUGAUUCCCUUCCCAGCGCCCGCAUUCCCCGCUGCCAUCCUCACUGCCGCAGCGCCCCCGGUCCCCAAAUCGGCUGCGGCCGCGCGCAAAUCCGCCGAGCCCCCAGUCCCCAAAGCUGCAACGUCCGGAAAGCUGCAACGCCGCGCCAUCAAUGCCCCGCAGUCCCCGCCGCGAGGACGCAGCCGAGGACAGCUGGAACGCCCGCAAAACCGACGCGCCAGCAAGGCCCGCAACUCCGCAACGCCAGCAAUCCGCGCGGAUGGAAGGUUGCGCCACCAAAUCGCGUGGAUGGAAGGUCCACCUCCUCCUCCUCUCCCCAAAUCGCGCAUCCGCCGUCAAUGGAAGGUCCCGCGGAUCCACCAAAUCAUGUGCUGAAAAAAGCUGUCAUCCAAAACUCAAUGAUCCACCAAAUCAUGGAAGGUCCCGCGGAUCUCAAGUGGCAUCCCUACUACGUCGGCGGACCUGCAGGUGGAGCUUGAGGCGGAGAGCGACAUGCGGCGGGCGCUGCCAGUGAGGCCAUGCCCAAGAUCCUGCACCUCCAGUAGGGCAAGUCCGAGGCAAGGAUGGAAGCGCACCAGUAUCGGCGCUACGCCGAGAAGCGAUUCGCGCACGACGCGCUCGACCACCGCGACGCCGCGGUCCGAUCGCUCGUCGCCAGGCUUCGGGCGUGCCAGGCUGGUUAGUUCAAGAUAAAGGGAGAACCUGAAGAUCUUGGAUCUUUUAUCAACAAUUUACUUGGAAAGAUGGGGCUUGGAACACAUUCUGAUAUUAUGUCUAUGAUUACAGAGAUGCUGGAUGGAAUGCCCCCUGGACUUGAAGAAGCGCUUGUACUAUCAAAGGUGAUAAAAUCCAUUGACGUGCAAGAGGCCGAUAUACUUAGGCGUAUAGUGUUGGAUGCUCCAUCCACUGGACAUACACUUAAGCUUCUGUCAGCUUCUGAUUGGAUUGAAAUGUUCCUUACUUUGAGCAUUAAGGGCAUAAAUGUGGCUUCGUCCAUGCCAUCGUUUAAUAUGUAUCUUGAGGACGUGCAAUUCAUCUCUGCCAGGCUAGAAGAACUAAGGCAGCAGGUUCGCAGAGUGCAUGAGAUUUUGUUUGAUCCACAAUCAACAUAAUUCAUCGUCGUGACAAUUCCAACGGGGGUGCAUGGCCUAGGGGGAGGAUGGCGACUAGGUUCAUCGAUGGCGGCAAGCACCUCGUGUUCGACCACGCGACACAGUUCUUCACCGCGAGCAUCCGCACCGCUGCAGGUGCUGCACAUCAUCGGCAGAGAGGAUCGAGUUCAAAUCGAUGAUGCAAGGCGACUGCAUCGUCGAGCUGUAACACCUGCAGCGGUGCGGAUCAAUGAGGGGAUUUUUUUGCACAGGGCCAGGGUAUUACCCCAUGACCUGGUGAAAGGGACCACUAAGUCGUAAUACAACCAUUGUAACUCUGAAGAUAAUUAGUCAUCUAACAUUUGAUUAUUCAACUAGAUAGAUGAUGCCUCCUUAUGGGACACCACCACCAUAUGCAGCAAUGUAUGCACAAGGUACACCAUAACAGCAGGCACCAAUGCCACCGGGUUCACACCCAUACAGUUCUUAUCCUAUGCAGUCACCAAACGGGACAGUUCAAACUCCAAUAAGAAUCUCUUGGCUGCUCACCUGUUGAGUUUUCCCCAUUUCAAAAUCGUCCUGCUCGCAUAUUCCCCGAUUCAAAAUCGCCCAAUGGAGUAGAGAAAUCUGGAGGGGGCUCGUGGAGAUCCUGGGCCAUUAUUUGCAGACCAUAGUGACAGCUUGUUGGAUCACUUGGGCGCUUGGGUUAUCAAUGGGGAGUAAUUCCACAACAUGAGUCUCCAACAAUGGGUCAUUUGGUUUACUUGCUAACAAAAAUAAUGGUAGUAUGUCUUUUGUCUGAGCAACUUCUGUUGUGGUUAUUGUUUAUAAUAAUGGCCUACAUGUAGUAUUCAUUUUCUCUGUAGUAUAAUAAGCCCAUUAAAACAAUUGAAUGCCAUUGUCCGUGCAUC